CCUGCUCCGUCGCCCCAGUGUUCAGACUACCUGUUCAGGACAAUGCUGUUGUACAGUAGUCUGCACAUUGGUUAGACUGGGCAAGGGAA
rnacentral:pre_miRNA from 1 species